GUUGGGGUCUCGCUGGAGGUAGGCUGCUAGUGGCCUCUUCUAGGUAGAAAUCCCCUGAGGAGUCAAACUCCUCGAGGUCGGCAGCCAUUUUGGGGCCAUAUGAACCUUGCACCUGGUGGAAUAAAUCUCGUAUGCUGUCCCUCCGUUUGGGUCUGUCUGACUUUUGCUUUUUUGUUUUCCUCCCCAUUGCAGUUAUGGGUCACUUG